rnacentral:tmRNA from 1 species
GGGGGCGACAUGGCUUCGACGCCGGUUACAAACCCUGAGGUGCAUGUCGAGAGGGUAGCGUUAUCUCGUAAAUCAAAGCGUUACAAACAAAUAGUCGCAAACGACGAAAACUACGCUCUAGCUGCUUAAUUGUAGCUCCCUUCGACGGAAGUUGCCUGUAACUUCUUGACAAGGUAUGAGCCCGCGAAACAGGCUCGCAGCAAAGUCCGCCUUAGACCGCGCUGCUAAAUUCUUCAAGGCUCGUGUUCGACAAUCCUGUUCAUUGGAGUGUUGGGCAUUAAACUAAAAAAUGAAACUAAACAUGUAGAGCUGAUGGCAGCGGACUGGCGGACGCGGGUUCGAUCCCCGCCGCCUCCACCA